CUGAAGAUAGCUUGCAUGGGUGGGUAAGCUGCUCCCACCUGCUACUGCUGCUUUAUCAGAGAGCUGUUCCUGAACACACAUGCCCUCUAAAAACUGGAACGAGAUUCCUACAUUUUCAUGUGGGAACAGAAUGAAGCAAAGCAAUGUGUCAGUAUGACAUUUUUAAUGCAAGUCAGUCCCUGCCUGCACUUUGAGCUGCUCCACCUUGAGCAGGGACAAACUCCGGCCUGAUGGCCGGAUUAAUCCUGCAUAUGUUCUGUGGAAUAUCCAAGUCCUACUCUGAUGUGACUACAACAAUAACGGGAUCCGAUGGGUGUCUACUGUGCAGAAAAAAAAAAAAAAAAAAAGCAGAAAAACCCAUACUGACUGUUUUCAUUGGAUAAUCCUCAUGGAGAUAAUCGUGGGAAGUGAGGUUGAUUUGGGGAUGGAGCUGAAUUCUUCAUGAGGAAGCAGCAACACAGGAGCUAACUGGAAAUUUAUUUCGCAGGCUGGAAUGAAGAGAUGAACCAGUGGGUGUGAGAAGAGGCACUGGCACUGGGCACUGGGAAGAAGACCUGCUCCGUACAGGGUGCUGAUAGGAAGACCUGCUCUACACCUGCAUCUGGUUUUGAUGGCAGACCAUCUUCCAGCAGAGUCUGCAGAAGGUGAAAGAGCCUACUGCCAAACCAAGCCAGGACUGUCCACCUACCAAAGGGGCUGCCUGAAUUCUAUAAGAAAAACACCCUGAUCUUCUUUCCACCAGCUGCAAUGUGAUUCCUCAGAGGAAAAGUGGCAGGGUAGAGAAGAUUUGCAGACCUUCUCCAGCAGGACUUCAUCCCUGAAGGACCAGUCUGAGUACUCCCUUUUACAAGCUGGAGUCUGGAUCUGUUCCUAUGCACAGGAGAGAUGUGCUUAGAGAAAAGGACCAGAACGCCUUGUGGGAAACAGAUCCCUAAAGAGUAGAUGGAGAGAACAUAACAAGUAGAUGUUUUACUGAAGAAGUUUUUUCAUUUAAAUAAAUUCCCAUCAGACCAUGCUCUUUUUAUCUCCUUUGUCAGUGCUCUUACUUGGCCCAUGGGAAUCUAGCUGCCU